GAUGAACGCUGGCGGCGUGCCUAAUACAUGCAAGUCGAGCGAACGGACGAGGAGCUUGCUCCUCUGACGUUAGCGGCGGACGGGUGAGUAACACGUGGAUAACCUACCUAUAAGACUGGGAUAACUUCGGGAAACCGGAGCUAAUACCGGAUAAUAUUUUGAACCGCAUGGUUCAAUAGUGAAAGACGGUUUUGCUUUCCCUUAUAGAUGGAUCCGCGCCGCAUUAGCUAGUUGGUAAGGUAACGGCUUACCAAGGCGACGAUGCGUAGCCGACCUGAGAGGGUGAUCGGCCACACUGGAACUGAGACACGGUCCAGACUCCUACGGGAGGCAGCAGUAGGGAAUCUUCCGCAAUGGGCGAAAGCCUGACGGAGCAACGCCGCGUGAGUGAUGAAGGUCUUCGGAUCGUAAAACUCUGUUAUUAGGGAAGAACAAAUGUGUAAGUAACUAUGCACGCCUUGACGGUACCUAAUCAGAAAGCCACGGCUAACUACGUG
rnacentral:rRNA from 1 species